AUGAACGCUGGCGGCGUGCCUAAUACAUGCAAGUCGAGCGAACAGACGAGGAGCUUGCUCCUCUGACGUUAGCGGCGGACGGGUGAGUAACACGUGGAUAACCUACCUAUAAGACUGGGAUAACUUCGGGAAACCGGAGCUAAUACCGGAUAAUAUAUUGAACCGCAUGGUUCAAUAGUGAAAGACGGUUUUGCUGUCACUUAUUGAUGGAUCCGCGCCGCAUUAGCUAGUUGGUAAGGUAACGGCUUACCAAGGCAACGAUGCGUAGCCGACCUGAGAGGGUGAUCGGCCACACUGGAACUGAGACACGGUCCAGACUCCUACGGGAGGCAGCAGUAGGGAAUCUUCCGCAAUGGGCGAAAGCUUGACGGAGCAACGCCGCGUGAGUGAUGAAGGUCUUCGGAUCGUAAAACUCUGUUAUUAGGGAAGAACAAAUGUGUAAGUAACUAUGCACGUCUUGACGGUACCUAAUCAGAAAGCCACGGCUAACUACGUG
rnacentral:rRNA from 1 species